rnacentral:lncRNA from 1 species
AGCGAACUAAAAUGAAAUAGUGUACAAAUUUUUGGGGAAAAAUUAAAAUAAAACACAUGGAUGCCAAUGGGGGUCUGCUGAAAUGUGGUGCAAAAAGUGAGGGAUUAAUCGUGGAAAUUUCCCAUUUGACAUACAAAUGCACAAAUUGGGUUUUGGCAUAUAUCAACACGUGGUCCCCACCCUUAAACACCACCGUUUCAAUUUAUUUCAAAAUGGCAGGAAAUUGAAUGGCAAUUGGCCAUUUCUUCAAGCCACAAUUAAGGAAAAAACCCUAAUACCCCAUACUUUCCCCUCAUUUGGCCGAUUCUCUCCCCCCCUCCCAAACACUAAGCUACACAUUCAAGCUUGGGGAAUGAUUUUUCAGCCUUGAAAUCUCUUCUUGGCUUCGAUUCAAACAAAGCAAAAAGGAGAUUUAUGGCGUAUUUGCCAGGUAAGAACUUCUUCCUUUUCUUUUUAUUUGCUUUCAAACAUAAAAACGAUAAACCCAAAAGAAUGAAGAACAAAGAAAGAAAAAAAAGCAUAUAGAGAUUUAAAUCAAAAAUCACCUUCUCCAAAAAAAUUGCUUUUGAAUUCUCUAUUCAAUAUGAGUAUGUAGUAUCUCUAAAAAAUACCUGAGGCAAUACAAUAGCCUUGUAUGGCUUUAUAUAGCCGAAAUAAAAAAUAAAAAUACAUCAUUUUUGCUAUUUUGUGCUGCUGUCAUUCCUUCAUUUUUUUGCAGGUACCAGGUAUUGUGGCAAGGCAGCUGGCAUGUACGGGCGUGGGGCGUACGGAGUUCGUGGAGAUCGGGGCUGUUGCGGCGCAAGCAUAAGCUGCUAGGGUUCCCGGCUAUGCUUCUGUUUUGGGCCAUGGGGUGUUUGUUAGUUUGGGCUGUAAUUUGAAUUGGACAUUUUAAUUUAGUGUUUUUUUUGUCUGAUUUGGGCUUAUUGGGUUUAAUUUGGGUUAUGUUUUUAUUUUGGUUUUGGGCCCGGGCAGAUUUGGCCCAUUACAUGUUGCAUCAUAUUAUUUCAUGUUCAUUUAUCCUUUCCUAUGCGAAUGCUUCGAUACAAUGCAUUAAAUUUUUCAUCUAUUUUAAAACAAAUAAACGUGUUUUGAGCAAAUUUUUAAUUUUCUUUAUUAUUCAAAAAUUUUGAAAUAAGGUAAUAUCCAAUAUUUAGGAAUUCAGAAAAUCGUGCUCAAUCGUGCUGGGUAUGAUUUUUUUGGUGAACUAAAUAUUUAGAUAACCUUUUAUAAUUUUAGUGUACGAGUUUUCAAAAGUAAAAAAUCAAUCGUAUUUUUUUAAAGGUAUAAAGGAUCGUAUCCAAUCGUGCUGGGUAUGAUAUUGCUUAUCUUUGAAACGAGAGAAUUUUGACCGCUAAUUUGAACUAUUCAAACAUUUUUAAAAAGAUCAUACUUUGAAAAAUCUUUUCUUUAAAAACCUUUUGGUAUAAGGAUAGCAUCAAAUCAAUUUGGUACCAAUUUGUGGGCGUAAUGAGGGUGCUAACCCUUCCUUAUGC